GGGACUACCAGGGUUUCUAAUCCUGUUUGCUCCCCACGCUUUCGCACCUGAGCGUCAGUCUUCGUCCAGGGGGCCGCCUUCGCCACCGGUAUUCCUCCAGAUCUCUACGCAUUUCACCGCUACACCUGGAAUUCUACCCCCCUCUACGAGACUCAAGCUUGCCAGUAUCAGAUGCAGUUCCCAGGUUGAGCCCGGGGAUUUCACAUCUGACUUAACAAACCGCCUGCGUGCGCUUUACGCCCAGUAAUUCCGAUUAACGCUUGCACCCUCCGUAUUACCGCGGCUGCUGGCACGGAGUUAGCCGGUGCUUCUUCUGCGGGUAACGUCAAUGAGCAAAGGUAUUAACUUUACUCCCUUCCUCCCCGCUGAAAGUACUUUACAACCCGAAGGCCUUCUUCAU
rnacentral:misc_RNA from 1 species